CACGUAGUUAGCCGGGGCUUUCUUCUCCUAUACCGUCACACACCAGGCAGUUACUCCUGAUGCUGUUCGUCUAGGGCAACAGAGCUUUACGAUCCGAAAACCUCAUCACUCACGCGGCGUUGCUCCGUCAGACUUGCGUCCAUUGCGGAAGAUUCCCUACUGCUGCCUCCCGUAGGAGUCUGGGCCGUGUCUCAGUCCCAGUGUGGCCGUUCACCCUCUCAGGUCGGCUACGCAUCGUCGCCUUGGUGAGCCGUUACCUCACCAACUAGCUAAUGCGCCGCAGGCCCAUCUUUAAGCCACAGAUUGCUCCGUGCUUUAUGAUUCUCUCAUGCGAGAAAACCAGUUAUCCGGUCUUAGCUAUCGUUUCCGAUAGUUAUCCCAGUCUUAAAGGCAGGUUACCUACGUGUUACUCACCCGUCCGCCGCUAGCUUGUCCGAAGGACAAGCCCGCUCGACUUGCAUGUAUUAGGCACGCCGCCAGCGUCG
rnacentral:rRNA from 1 species